GACGAACGCUGGCGGCGUGCUUAACACAUGCAAGUCGAACGGAAAGGCCCUGCUUUUGUGGGGUGCUCGAAUGGCGAACGGGUGAGUAACACGUGAGUAACCUGCCCUUGACUUUGGGAUAACUUCAGGAAACUGGGGCUAAUACCGGAUAGGAGCUCCUGCUGCAUGGUGGGGGUUGGAAAGUUUCGGCGGUUGGGGAUGGACUCGCGGCCUAUCAGCUUGUUGGUGUGGUAGUGGCUUACCAAGGCUUUGACGGGUAGCCGGGCUGAUAGGGUGACCGGCCACAUUGGGACUGAGAUACGGCCCAGACUCCUACGGGAGGCAGCAGUGGAGAAUUUUGCACAAUGGGCGGAAGCCUGAUGCAGCAACGCCGCGUGCGGGAUGACGGCCUUCGGGUUGUAAACCGCUUUCGCCUGUGACGAAGCGUGAGUGACGGUAAUGGGUAAAGAAGCACCGGCUAACUACGUG
rnacentral:rRNA from 1 species